CACUACAGCUUCUAAAAGUUGUAGUUGUCUUCCUGCACAAGUUAUGCUGAACCAUUUAGAAGGCCUGCAAGACCAGGAGCUCUGUAUAGGUCCAAAUAAACUAUACCCAACAUUAUUUCUGCAACAAAAUUACAAAUGAUCGAUUUUUGUAUAAUACAUGACUUUGUUUUCCCUGACCAACUAAAAAAAAUGAUUUUUUUU